UGGCGAGGUAGCUCAGGUGGUUAGAGCGUUGGAUUCAUAACCCAAAGGUCACGGGUUCAAAUCCCGUCUUCGCUACAAA
rnacentral:tRNA from 1 species